rnacentral:SRP_RNA from 1 species
GGGUGGGUCCGGCGCAGCAGAGCCCUUUGAACCGUGUCAGAUCCGAAAGGAAGCAGCACUAAGGAGGAUCCUCUGGGUGCCGCCGGUCUGCCUGCCCGAG